rnacentral:rRNA from 1 species
AGCGAACGCUGGCGGCAGGCCUAAUACAUGCAAGUCGAGCGGCCCUUCGGGGCAGCGGCGGACGGGUGAGUAACGCGUGGGAAUGUGCCCUUUGGUACGGAACAACUGAGGGAAACUUCAGCUAAUACCGUAUGUGCCCUUCGGGGGAAAGAUUUAUCGCCAUUGGAGCAGCCCGCGUUGGAUUAGGUAGUUGGUGAGGUAAAGGCUCACCAAGCCUACGAUCCAUAGCUGGUCUGAGAGGAUGAUCAGCCACACUGGGACUGAGACACGGCCCAGACUCCUACGGGAGGCAGCAGUAGGGAAUCUUGCGCAAUGGGCGAAAGCCUGACGCAGCCAUGCCGCGUGAAUGAUGAAGGUCUUAGGAUUGUAAAAUUCUUUCACCGGGGAAGAUAAUGACGGUACCCGGAGAAGAAGCCCCGGCUAACUUCGUGCCAGCAGCCGCCGUAAUAC